GCAAAGGCUGACAGCAGGAAAAAGAAGCAGAGAAGCAAAUGGCAUGGAUCAGCCCAAACAACACAGACUUUCCGCAUGGUCAUCAUGGGGAGACACUGCUAUUGGCAGGACCAAUUUCUCCUUCAUCUGGAAGCAGGAAACAGGAUUUGGGGAGCCCUGGCUGUCAGGACCUGAGUUCUCUAUUCUCCUUCUGCCCAGCUGCUUUGAGAAGGUGAUGUGUGGCUCAGGAUACACCUUCCUGGAGCGUGCCUGUAGUUGCCAUGGCUACUCCCAAGCAAGUCCUGCGUGAAUGAACCUGGUGCUGUUCCGAGGCUCCACAGCCAGCCCCGUAGAUCACAAAUGUCUUGGAUGGUUCUCCCCUUCCAGUGAUAUAAUUGGAUCCAUUGCUCAUCUGUCAUGACCAAAGUAGAAACAGACAACAGGCCAUCUGUUCCAUCUUUCCAAGUUCUUCCUCAGCAUGAGCCCCAUCUCUGCUGCUCAUUGUUACCAUGGGCAGGUGCACCCAUGGUAACGGUCAACCGUGUGGUGUCGGAGCUGCCCACUUAGCUGCUUGAGUGACACUGACUCAGCAUCAAUUCUUUCAUUAGUUCAAGGGGCUCUUCUUACCAGGUUCUGGGAAUGAAGAGCUAAUGUAGAUGCUUUAUAUUUCCUGGAGGCUCUCUCCUUGUGCUCAUUUAAUGUAUUUUAUGGCCCAUGUGUCCUCUGCAAACGGCUAGAUCUGUUUUGCCCGAGUGUGAAGAAUAAUUAAGAUCAUUCUAAGUCAAAUGAAGUGUUGAAACACAUUGUCAGAGGAUCUUGAGCAUUGUAAGUGUCUCGUUACCUCUGACACUAUGUAAUGGGGCAUGUUGUCACUCUGUUUCUUUCCUCUGAAAUAUCCAUGCUGGGGCUUUCCCUCCCUACCUCCACUUCUCUAUGUGUCAAGAAGCCACCACACACCUGUAGUCAGGUGUCAUAAAGUGCACCAGGCUGAUAAGAGAGAGACUAGUGCUUAGACGAUGCUCAGCAAAGCCUUGCAGCACCAUCUGCUGAAUUAUCCCUGGGCGAAGGUGAGGUGCAGCAGGUGUGAAGAAGACACAUCUCCCAGAGCAGCAGCAGCACAAACAUCACCCAUGUGUCUCCCGCCGGCUUUGUGCCUCCUCCUUCACAUGGUAACCACAUCGGCUGCAGGACUGGGCGAGCUCCUGCUGUCCUUGUCCCCCUCCUCCUCCACUCCACCCUGGGAGCAUUUGCCUGUGCCUAAGCAGCAGAAGUGACCCUCUCCAUGAGGUGGAAACCAAUGGAUUCUGACUUGAAAAUAGUCAUUCUAAAUAUAUCUGAGCUGACAGUUAAUGAGCACUUAAUAUUUGCCGGGCGCACUGUUAAUGCCUUACACAUCCUGUCAGAGUUUAUCCUCACAUUAACUCAUUCCGAAGGCUGCAAUUAUCCCAUUUUAUAUUUGGGAAAAUUCAGGCUUAGAGACUCUCAUUUACCCCAAGCCACACACAGCCUUCAGUUGGUAAAGCUGAAUGCAAAUCUGUGUCUCCAUGACCCCACAGGCCAUGUCCGUAGCCUCUUCACUAUGCUGCGUGUUUCUGGGCUGCCUGUCCCUAUCAUCUAUGUAUUUCCAGGUAUCCCAUGGCUCAGUCUGUGUUCUGUCUGCCAAAAUAUUUCCUGACAUAGCCCCUCACUGCUAUGGCUUCCCCACCCUUGUGGACAGAUCCUUUUCCCAGGCCCUCAGCCCUUCCUGCCUGCCCUAGCGUGCUCUUGUCAACCAGAUCACAUCCAAUCAAACCCAAACUCUUGACACUCCCAUUUACCAAAAAGCUAUGCUUAAGAUAGAAGACACAUGACACAGGAGAAGCUAGACAUGGGAUACUGCGGGCCACUGCCCCUUAGAAUAACUAGCAAUGCUUACUUUUGUGUAACACUUUGCAAUUGACAAAGCAAUUUAGCAUAUUCCCUCAUUUAAAAUGAAUGAAUAGUUCAAGAUGCAAAUAGCAAAAUGACUGUCUGCAGGAGAGCCAGUCCAAGUACAAAUUGGCACUCAGGCCCUUCUCCAAUGAAGAAGGGAAAUGUUUGCACCACUGACAAAGUACACUUAAAUAAAUCUAUAAAAGUAGUUAGUGGGCUUUUUCUUCUUUUAAUUCAAAGUUUAUUUUUAUUCAUUGAUUGAUUACAUAGAGACUUUUACAAAUUCAAAUAUGCAGUAGGAACAGUUGGCAAAUUCAUUAAACUUGAUGUUUCUACUUCUCUUUCCCCAAAGUAACCAAUUGUUUGGGAAAAUAGCAACGUUAAUUACUGCCAAUUGUUAACUGCAAAUAUAUUUGCACUUUCACAAUCAUGGCAUGUUUGCAUUUCACACGGCUUCUGUUUUAUAACCUGGAGCAAGUCUCCAUUAACAUUUGUUUUUUAACAAGAUGAUUAGAAAAGGCAGUGGGUUAGCAAAUAAGCAAAUAAUUACCUUUGGUUAAAAGUCCUUGUUUAGGUCCAAUUUGAAGAUGUGCUGUUAUUUUUUCCUACCAUGAACAUGAACCUCCAAAUAACCUUCAGCUACACCUUCUGUAAACUUUGCAGAGUGAUUGUGUAUCUGUGUCCAUAUUACAGAUGGGGGCUAGGUGUCCUCUCAAACCCAGAGCAUCCCAGACAGGCAGGCCCUCUGCAGGUUCUGGCCCUCAUUCUUUGCCCCUACUCAGCAUCUUGCCAGCAUCUUGUUUUCUUGAUGGCCAAUUUCAAAAGGUUCAUCUAUGGAAUUAUUUUGAAUGCCUCUUCUCACUUCUUGGAAGGUUUGUUGAGGGUCCCCAAGAUCAUCUUCAAGUUCAGUGACAUACUAGAAGGACUCACAGAACUCCAAAAAGCUGUUACAUAAUCAUGUUUCUGGCUUAGUACAGUGAAAGGAUACACACCAAAAUCACCAUUGGCCCAUGGGGAGGAAUCCAGAAGAAACCAGCAUGAGUUUCCAGGUGUUCUCUGCCAGGAGAGUCACAGGACAUUAUUCAUUCUCUCAGUCUGCUGAGUUAACUCUUUACUGCACUUCCUGAAGAAAGAAUAUUGUAAAAUAUUGGUUUAAACUUCUCUAAGGGAUCCCUGGGUGGCACAGCGGUUUGGCGCCUGCCUUUGGCCCAGGGCACAAUCCUGGAGACCCGGGAUCGAAUCCCACAUCGGGCUCCCGGUGCAUGGAGCCUGCUUCUCCCUCUGCCUAUGUCUCUGCGCCUCUCUCUCUCUCUCUCUCUCUCUCUCUC